ACGUCACAGGCUAGCAACCGCUGUGGUGAGAGGAGGGGAGGGGUAGAAAUAGAGCGGAGGAGAUACCGGUAUCGGACGUUAAAAGCCGACCCGCCGUGAGACGUUAAAAGAAAACAUAAUAGCAAGAGUAGUCGGUAAGAAAAGCUUCCGGUAGCGGUUGGAACAAUAACGUCGAUGUAGAAAGAGGUUGUUACAAGAGAAGCCAACAAGCAAGUUUAAACAGCAGGGAGUUAACCGAAUAAAGCAGCUGGUUAGCUCGUUAUCACUUUGUAAAUUAACAGGAAUUUAGAGUGGCUUUUCGUGAAAGUAGUAGCUGCCUACCGCUCGGUCCACUCUGGAUUGGUUGGUUAAAUUUCAGCGGGACAGGCGACAAGUUUUUUUUUUUUUUCUUUUCUUUUCUUUUUGUUUUUUGAGUCACCUGCCAGAACUCUCCUCCGCCACCUCCAGACCCCCAGAGCUGGACCACGGGGUUUUGUAACAACACACCCGAGCCUGUAGUGUCUGUACACCGAGGAGGAGCAGAGGGAGAUCAGCAGGGCUGGUACAAAGAGCGGUGAGCAUCCAGAGACAGGAGCACGGGACGGAGAGCGCGCGGCGAGGACAACAACGGGGACCCACCAGAGCGCAUCCCUCAAAUAUCUGCUCAGCACAGGCAGCACAGUGCUAACCAUCAUCUGCAAACGACUGGUCCAGCAUCGGUUGCUCCUCUCCAGGGAUCCCUGCUUCUAAUCUGUUUGCCCCUCAGCCCCUGUAGUACCCAGUCAUCCUCUCCACCCUGUCCCGAUGAAGGAGGCUGAUGCCAUCAAGCUGUUUGUGGGGCAGAUUCCCCGGAAUCUGGAAGAGAAGGACCUCAAGCCUAUUUUUGAGCAGUUUGGCAAAAUCUAUGAGCUAACUGUGAUUAAGGACAAAUACACUGGCAUGCACAAAGGAUGUGCGUUUCUGACGUACUGUGCAAGAGAGUCGGCACUGAAAGCCCAGAGUGCUCUACACGAGCAGAAGACACUACCAGGGAUGAAUCGGCCAAUCCAGGUGAAACCAGCUGACAGCGAGGGCAGAGGAGAGGACAGGAAAUUGUUUGUGGGCAUGCUGGGAAAGCAACAGAGCGAUGAGGAUGUCAGAAGGCUGUUUGAGCCCUUUGGUAGCAUAGACGAGUGUACUGUCUUGAGAGGACCUGAUGGCACCAGCAAAGGGUGCGCUUUUGUAAAAUUCCAAGGACAUGCUGAAGCCCAGGCUGCCAUCAACAGCUUGCAUGGAAGUCGCACGAUGCCUGGAGCAUCAUCCAGUCUGGUAGUGAAGUUUGCAGACACAGAGAAGGAGCGGGGGCUGAGGAGGAUGCAGCAGGUGGCCUCCCAGCUCGGCAUCUUCAGCCCCAUGACCCUCAACUUCCCUGCCUAUAAUGCCUAUACACAGGCGGUCAACGCACAGCUUGUCCAACAGCAGGCCCUGGUUGCCCAGUCAGCAUACUUGUCUCCUGUGGCAACAGUCGCUGCCGUACAGAUGCAGCAGAUGGCGGCUCUCAAUGCCAACGGAAUCAUUGCCACACCCAUUACACCCAUCACACCGUCCUCUGGUACAAACACUCCUCCAACUAUUGCAGCUACGCCUGUGCCAGCUCUUCCUCCACCAAUAAGUGUGAAUGGUUACAGUAGUGUGCCAGCCCCAACCAAUGGACAACAAGCAACAGAAACACUAUACACCAAUGGUGUUCACCCAUAUCAAGCUCAGAGUCCAGCAGCAGCCUUGGACCCCCUGCAACAGGCAUACGCAGGCAUGCAGCACUACACAGCAGCGUACCCUGCUGCCUACGGAUUGGUUGGACAGCCGUUCCCCCAGCAGCCAACACUGGUUGCACAGCAACACCAGCAGCCCCAGCAACAGCAGCAGAGAGAAGGUCCAGAGGGGUGUAACAUCUUCAUCUACCACCUGCCUCAGGAGUUCAGCGACUCUGAGAUGCUGCAGAUGUUCCUGCCCUUUGGCAAUGUCAUCUCAGCAAAGGUGUUUGUGGACCGUGCCACCAACCAGAGCAAAUGUUUCGGAUUUGUGAGUUUUGACAACCCAGCCAGUGCUCAGGCCGCCAUCCAGGCCAUGAACGGUUUCCAGAUUGGCAUGAAAAGACUGAAAGUGCAGCUCAAAAGGCCCAAAGAUGCCAACCGCCCAUACUGAGUAACAACCAAGCGGACCAAGAAGAAAUAAAGCAAGAUCCUUCCGUCCAAUCAUAAUUCGAGGACCCCAUCGCUAUGGCAAUGGUUGCCUAGUGACCGAUAAAGCCCUGACCCCCCCUUCCUCUCACAUUGUUGUGACCUUUCAGAGUCCAGCUGAGGUGGAAUCCCAGAGCUGUGCUUUCAGACUGUCUGCUACCUUUGAGCAUCCGGAGAGUGCAGCCACACAUACUGUACACACAUAGACACACACUCACACGAAUACACAUGCACUCUCAACACUGAACCUCAAACAAGGCUGAUAUAUAAGGCUGAUAUAUAAAUGUACAUAAAGUGCACAAACACACACACACACACACACACAUUGCCUGCCAACACACACAAAUACAAACAUUUCACACAAGUCAGCAAUCUUACAAACAUAGCUGAGAACUUGGUUUGUGCGGCGUUUCCCAGCAGGGUGUUUAGUACAAUUAAAACAACUCAGACCAAGUGUGUGGAGGGUACUGAUGAAAAAUGCUGAUAUAUCACUUCAGUAGACAAUAACAUGUCUAUACCAUGUCUAUUAUAUGACAAAUAUAGCGAGGCCGAUGUUUCAUAAUUAAAGAA